AGCAGUCGCCGCGGGAAUACGGAGGGUGCAAGCGUUAAUCGGAAUUACUGGGCGUAAAGCGCACGCAGGCGGUCUGACAAGUCAGAUGUGAAAUCCCCGGGCUUAACCUGGGAACUGCAUUUGAAACUGUCAGGCUGGAGUCUUGUAGAGGGGGGUAGAAUUCCAGGUGUAGCGGUGAAAUGCGUAGAGAUCUGGAGGAAUACCGGUGGCGAAGGCGGCCCCCUGGACAAAGACUGACGCUCAGGUGCGAAAGCGUGGGGAGCAAACAGGAUUAGAUACCCGAGUAGUCCCUGUCUCUUAUAA
rnacentral:rRNA from 1 species